UAACAGGGCCAACUCUUUGUCUCGGUGUUA
rnacentral:piRNA from 1 species